rnacentral:rRNA from 1 species
UGCGCAGGCGGUUACUUAAGUCAGGUGUGAAAGCCCUGGGCUUAACCUAGGAAUUGCGCUUGAGACUGGGUAGCUUGGAGUGCGGCAGAGGGAGGUGGAAUUCCACGUGUAGCAGUGAAAUGCGUAGAGAUGUGGAGGAACACCGAUGGCGAAGGCAGCCUCCUGGGCCAGCACUGACGCUCAUGCACGAAAGCGUGGGGAGCAAACAGGAUUAGAUACCCUGGUAGUCCACGCCCUAAACGAUGUCAACUGGUUGUUGGUGGGGUUAAACCCAUUAGUAACGAAGCUAACGCGUGAAGUUGACCGCCUGGGGAGUACGGCCGCAAGGUUAAA